rnacentral:rRNA from 1 species
GACGGAGGGGGCUAGCGUUGUUCGGAAUUACUGGGCGUAAAGGGCGCGUAGGCGGAUCGGUAAGUUGGAAGUGAAAGCCCGGGGCUUAACCUCGGAACUGCUUUCAAAACUGCCGAUCUUGAGUGAAGUAGGGGGUGACGGAAUUCCUAGUGUAGAGGUGAAAUUCUUAGAUAUUAGGAGGAACACCGGUGGCGAAGGCGGUCACCUGGACUUCAACUGACGCUGAGGCGCGAAAGCGUGGGGAGCAAACAGG